GACGAACGCUGGCGGCGUGCUUAACACAUGCAAGUCGAACGGAAAGGCCCUGCUUUUGUGGGGUGCUCGAGUGGCGAACGGGUGAGUAACACGUAGUAACCUGCCCUUGACUUUGGGAUAACUUCAGGAAACUGGGGCUAAUACCGGAUAGGAGCUCCUGCUGCAUGGUGGGGGUUGGAAAGUUUCGGCGGUUGGGGAUGGACUCGCGGCCUAUCAGCUUGUUGGUGGGGUAGUGGCUUACCAAGGCUUUGACGGGUAGCCGGCCUGAGAGGGUGACCGGCCACAUUGGGACUGAGAUACGGCCCAGACUCCUACGGGAGGCAGCAGUGGGGAAUAUUGCACAAUGGGCGGAAGCCUGAUGCAGCAACGCCGCGUGCGGGAUGACGGCCUUCGGGUUGUAAACCGCUUUCGCCUGUGACGAAGCGUGAGUGACGGUAAUGGGUAAAGAAGCACCGGCUAACUACGUG
rnacentral:rRNA from 1 species